GAUGAACGCUAGCGGCAGGCCUAAUACAUGCAAGUCGAACGGUCAACUUCGGUUGAUAGUGGCGCACGGGUGCGUAACACGUAUGCAACCUACCUUACAUUGGGGGAUAGCCUUUCGAAAGGGAGAUUAAUACCGCAUAAGACAGUGACAUGGCAUCAUGUAGCUGUUAAAGAUUUAUCGAUGUAAGCUGGGCAUGCGUCCAAUUAGUUAGUUGGUGAGGUAACGGCUCACCAAGACGAUGAUUGGUAGGGGAACUGAGAGGUCAAUCCCCCACACUGGCACUGAGAUACGGGCCAGACUCCUACGGGAGGCAGCAGUAGGGAAUAUUGGGCAAUGGGCGCAAGCCUGACCCAGCCAUGCCGCGUGCAGGAAGAAGGCGUUCUGCGUUGUAAACUGCUUUUAUAUAGGAAGAAACGACCCUUGCGAGGGGCAUUGACGGUAUUAUAUGAAUAAGCACCGGCUAACUCCGUGCCAGCAGCCGCCGUAAAAC
rnacentral:rRNA from 1 species